CCUACGGGGGGCUGCAGCCGAGAAUAUUCGACAAUGGGCGAAAGCCUGAUCGAGCGAUACCGCGUGGUGGAUGAAGCGAUUCGUCGCGUAAACAUCUUUUAUGAGGGAGGCGUUACCUCAUGAAUAAGGGGCUCCUAACUCUGUGCCAGCAGGAGCGGUAAUACAGAGGCCCCAAGCGUUACCCGGAAUUACUGGGCGUAAAGAGUGCGUAGGUGGUCGUGUUAGUCGCGCGUUAAAACCCGGAGCUCAACUUCGGAAUCGCGCGCGAAACGGCACGACUCGAGAGCGUGAGAGGUCUGUGGAACUCUGGGUGUAGGGGUGAAAUCCGUUGAUAUCCAGGGGAACACCGAAAGCGAAGGCAGCAGACUGGCGCGUUUGACACUCAAGCACGAAAGCGUGGGUAGCGAACGGGAUUAGAUACCCUUGUAGUC
rnacentral:rRNA from 1 species